UUAAAAAUAAGCUAAACUCAUAAGCUAAUGAACUCAUACUUCAUAUAUAAAAUUAAUAUUUUUUUUUAAA
rnacentral:tRNA from 2 species